rnacentral:lncRNA from 1 species
UUUUUUUUUUUGUUUUAGAAAUGUGGCUACUUAUAUGUGCUUGGAAUUUUGUGUUUUUAUUACAUAUAAUUAGUUAUAGUCAAAUUCUGGUAUGUGUUAGAUUAGCCACUUUAAGUUGAUCAAGUUGAGGUGCCUCUGAAUAGCAUAUAGGGUUAAUGUUUAGAGAACGAUACGUGUUAGCAUGGUUUUAAAGUCUUUUGAACAGGUUAAAUGUUGUUAAAUAAUUAUUUGAGAUUGCUAUUGAAGGCUUAUUUUAAAAACAAACUUCAAGUGACCAAUUUUUGCACCACAUGGUCCGGCCACACGGCCGUGUGGCAGACACAGGCUGUAGGCACAAGCAUGUGCUUUUUGGGAAAAAAGGACAACUUGGAGCUACACGGUUCCUGCUUGUUACACGGUCUAGCCACACAAUUGUGUAACUAUUGGAGGUCAUGACCGAUUUUGAGCCAUACAGCCUCAAAGAGUUACACAGCCUAGGCAUACGAUUGUGUGACCCUUACUUUGAAAAUUUUUCCUACUUUUUGAUAACAUUUUCAAUUUAGUACUAUUGUGUGCUCAGGUUAUCUUAAGAGCUUUCGUAAGCUCGAUUGAGACUCUAUUUUGAUUGUGAACCAUAUUAUGCAUGAAUUAUGAAAUAAAUUGAUGUUUAUUUGAUUUAAUGGCUAUGAAUUGUUUGUUAACUCUUCCAAUAUCUGUGGUAGCAUCCCGUAGCUUGGGUUCAGCGACCGAAUCGGGUGAGGGUGUUACAUUUAGUGGUAUUAGAGCUACAAUUGAAUAUAUUCUAGGACUAAACGUAGCGUGUAUCAAGUCUAUAAAUUCAUGUCAUAUUAUAACUUGUGAUAGUGCGAGGUCUCUUAAUUUUAUUUGAUUUUGUCUUCUUCUAGAUAAAAGAUGUCAGUCGAAUCUAAUCGUGUCAUUUUCGACAAGGUUGAUAGUAAUGUACCAGCCUUUGAGCAGGGAACUGUUCUGAGCGUUCUCGCUUCUCAAGGGCCAAGAAGUGAGGCCUGUGGUGCCUUCUUUCGAAUGAUGAAUGACUAGUUCUGUGAAUUUAUGCGAGCCAACCCUGCGACUCAACAACCUUCACCCCACCUGUUCCUCCCCUGACACCCUCUCGUCCUCAAAGUUUAACUCCAGUAAUUGUACACAGGCCUCCUAUUGAUAAGAUUCAGAUGUGUAGGGCUGAAGAGUUUUGAGGUAAGAUGGAUGAUGAUCCUGCUAGAGCUAAAUACUGGUUGAAAAAUACGCAGAGAGUAUUUGAUGAAACGCUUUGCUCCCCUGAAGAUUGUUUGAGGUGUGUCAUCUCAUUACUGAAAGCUGAGGCGUAUCAAUGGUAGAAAAUAUUGAUUGCAGUUGUUCCGAAAGAUAGACUAGAGUGGGAGUUGUUCCAAACAAAUUUUUGAUGGAAGAUAUUUGUAACGAAAAGAAAAAGGCUAAUUCGAAGCCUCAAGACUCUGGUAAACGGAGUGUGACUAGAACAUUUUUCUGCUCCCAACCAAAGAAGAUGAAAGAUGCUUGUAGUUGUUUCACAGCACCGUCUAGAUUUUCUAGGAGAGACUGAUCGAGACAAAGUAAUCUAAGGCCACAGACAACUUCGGUAGCCAGUGUUGGUAGUGUGUAGAAUAUGAACAAACUUGAAUGUAACCAUUGUGGUAGAAACCACUUCAGAGAGUACAAAAUGAAAGAUGAGUCCUAUUUUAGGUGUGGAUCAUUCGACCAUUGUUUGAAGGACUGCCCGAAUCAGCCUAACAGAAAUAGAGAUCAAAAUGUGGAACAUAUAGUUACUCCUUUGAGAGGAAGACAACUAGGAAAUAGUGGCAAUGUUGUAGCCAGUAGAGGUGGAAUGAAGGAUAUAGCUUUACGAUCUAAAGCUCGAGCUAUUGCCAAGGCUUACGCUAUCCGCGCUCGUGAGGAAGCUUCAGCUCCUAGUGUUAUUACUGGUACUUUUUCUUUCUUUGAUGCUAGUAUAUGUGUUGAUUGACCCUGGGUCAACACAUUUAUACAUAUGUACUACUUUAGUAACAGAAAAAAAAUAUACAAGUAGAGUCGACUGAGUAUAUCGUUAGAGUAACAAAUCUGUUAGGUCAAAGUGUCAUAGUUAAUUUGAUAUGUAAACAGUGUCCACUGAGAGUUUAGGGCUAUGACUUUCCUGCUAGUCUGAGGUUACUGUUGAAUUUACAUCACACAGUGGUGAAUUGUAGACAGAAAUAGAUUGUUCUAAGAUGCCAAGUGGUGAAUUGGUUACUGUUAAGUCUGAUAGAUCGGAUUGUGCUACUAAUGUUAUAUCGACAAUCUCCACUCAAAAAUUGAUCACAAAGGGUUGUGAAGUCUUUUUGGCUUUUUAGUUUACAUUCUUGAUACUUGAGUGCCAAGAUUAAAAAUUGAUCAGGUACCAACAAUUAAUGAAUUUACUAAUGUAUUCUUCGAGGAGUUGCCUAGGUUACCACCAAAACGAGAAGUUGAAUUCACUAUUGAGUUAAUGCCUGGAGCGACUCUGAUCUCAAUUUCCUCAUAUAGAAUGGCUCUGACUAAGCUAAAGGAAUUAAAAACACAGUUACAAGAGUUGAUUGAUAGAGGUUUCAUUCGACUAAAUGUGUCUCCUUGGGGUGCACCAAUCCUAUUCGUGAAAAAGAAAGAUAGGUCGGUGAAACUGUUUAUCGACUAUAGACAGUUAAACAAGGUCGCAAUAAAGAAUAAGUAUGCACUACUCCGUAUUGAUGAUUUGUUCGACCAGUUGAAAGGAGUCACUUAUUUUCAAAGAUUGAUCCAUGAUCUGGUUAUUAUUAGUUGCGAGUUAAAGAGCUUGAUGUGCCAAAAACUACAUUCAGAACUCGUUACAGUCAUUAGAGUUUCUUGUGAUGUCGUUUGGUCUGGCCAAUACCCCUACUGUAUCUAUGGACUUGUUGAAUCAGAUAUUUCAUCCGUAUUUAGAUAAUUUUUUGUUGUAUUUAUUAAUGAUAUUCUAAUAUGUUUGAAGAAUGGGCUUGAUCAUACUCAACAUUUGAGAAUCGUGUUAUAGACUUUGCGUGAGAAACAAUUAUAUGCGAAGUUUAAUAAGCGUGAGUUCUGGCUCCAAGAGGUUGGAUUUCUGGGACACAUAAUUCCUACAUAUGGUAUUCGAGUAGAUCCGAAUAAAAUAUCCACAAUUAUAGAAUUGGAAAGCUUUAAAGAAUGUCUCUGAAAUGCGUAGCUUUCUGGGUUUAGUCAAGUAUUACCAACGCUUCAUUAAGAAUUUCUCGAUGAUAGAAUUACCGACGACGAAGCUAUUGCAGAGAGAUGUCAAUUUUGUCUAGUCUGCAAAAUGUUAGGAGAGUUCAAGCAGUUGAAAGUCAUGUUGACUGAAGCUCUAGUAUUGACUCAGCUUGAAUCUGGGAAAUAAUUUAUUGUUUACAAUAAUGUUUCACUUAAUGGUCUAGGUUGUGUUCUGAUACAGAAAGAAAACUUAUAGCUUAUGCUACCCAACACCUUAAACCACACAAGAAAAAUUACCUGACGCAUGAUUUAGAGUUGGCUGCAAUUUUUUUUGCAUUGAAGAUUUGGUGGCAUCAUCUGUAUGGUGAGAAGUGUCACAUUUUUAUCGACCAUAAAAGCCUAAAGUACUUGAUGACUCAGAAAAAAAUUAACCUGAGACAACAUAGAUGGCUUGAACUAUUGAAAGAUUAUGAUCUUAUGAUCGGUUACCACCCUGGUAAAGCUACUAUCGUAGUUGAUUCUUUGAGUCAAAAAUCUUUAGUUUCCUUGAGAGCAAUGAAUACUCGUUUGACCUUGCAAUGUGAAAAUUCUAUCUUAGCUGAGCUAAGGGCUAAAUCUUUAUUUCUGUAAAGAAUUCGAGAACUAUAGAAGAAUGAUUCAAAGCUACAAACAAAAUAAAGACUGGUUGAAAAUACACAUACUACUAAGUUCAGUAUUAGCGAUAAUGACAAUUUGUAUUUCCACAGUUGGUUGUGUGUACCGAAUGAUGCUAAGGUAAAAAAGACAUUUUAGAUGAGGCUUAUAGCAGUGCUUACUCAAUUCACCCAAGCAACAACAAAUUGUAUAAUGAUUUGAAGCAGAUUUACUAGUGGCCAGGAAUGAAACAUGAGAUAUAAGAGUUUGUGUCUAAAUGUUUGGUAUGCCAACUAGGUGAAAGUCGAGCAUCAAGUUUCGUUAGGUUUACUACAACCUAUUAUGAUCGCUGAGUGGAAAUGGGAACAUGUUAAGAUGGAUUUCGUAUCAGGACCACCAUUAACUCCAAAAAAGAAAAUUUUGAUCUGGGUAAUUGUUGACAGAUUGACAAAUCAACUCACUUUAUUCCGAUUCAAACAAAUUAUUCACUUGAGAAGCUUGCUGAAUUGUAUGUUGUUAAGAUUUUUAGAUUGCACGGUGUAACGCUAUCCAUAAUUUCUAAUCGUGAUUCGAAGUUUACCUCCAAGUAUUGGGGCAAGUUACAGGAAGUUAUGGGCACGAAACUGAACUUCAGUAUAGCUUUCCAUCCUCAGGCUGACGGACAGUCGGAACCAGUUAUUCAGAUCUUGGAAGAUAUGUUGCAAUGUUGUGUUAUUAAAUUUGAAGGUAGCUAGGAGAAUUCCUGCCUUUAGCUGAGUUUGCCUAUAAUAACAACUAUCAGUCCAGCAUUAAAAUGGAACUGUCCGAGGCUUUAUACAGAUGCAAAUGCAUAACUCCAUUAUACUAGUCAGAGUUGAGUGAAAGAAAGUUAGUCGAGACAGAUUUGAUUAAAGAAAAAGAAGAUAAAGUCUGUAUUAUUCGAGAUUAUUUAAAAUUCACUUCUGACCAUCAGAAAUCAUAUGCAAACUUGGAACAGAAAGAUAUUGAGUUUCAAGUGGGUGAUAAAGUGUUUCUAAAAGUCUCAUUGUGGAAGAAAGUGCUACGAUUUGGUAGAAAACGAAAACUAGUCCAAAAUUAAUUGGGCCAUCUGAAAUUAUUAAAAAAAUUAGUCCUAUGACUUACAAACUAGCAUUACCUCCGACACUUAAGAAGAUUCAUAAUGUUUUUUACAUUUCGAUGUUACGUCAGUAUAGAUCGGACCCUUCACAUGUGAUUACUCCUAGUGAAAUAAAAUUAGAGCUUGACUUAUUGUAUUCAGAAGAACCAGUAAGGAUUUUAGCACGCGAAGUAAAAGAACUCAGUAAUAAGCGAGUACCAUUGGUAAAAGUAUUGUGGCACCAACACAGUAUAGAAGAAGCUACAUGGGAAAUGAAAGAAUCGGUGAAAUCUCAUUACUCGAAUCCAUUCUCAGGUAAAAAUUUUAUUGACGAAAUUUUUUGAAAGGGAGAGAGUUGUAACAGUCCAUAUUUUAGUGGUACCAGAAACGACAAUUUUGGAACCCUAAUUUCUAAUAAUCAAGUUAAUAAAUGUUAUUAUUUUAUAUUUACAAGUCCAUUAUAGUAUUAUAGUUAUUUUUGGUCUAGUAAUUUUGUUGAACAAUUGGUAAUUUAAAGUACAAGGACUAAAUCGUAAAAAAAUGUAAAAGUAAAUUACUAUUAAUUUUUAUUAGCUAAAAGUGUUAAAGAGCAUUAUUAAAGGGAGUAAAAAGGGAAAUUAAACCAUAAUGAUUAUGGCAUGGAGGGUUGAGGCAUGAUUUUUGGCAUAGUUUUAAUUAAAAUUAUAAAAGUUAUUUUAUAAUUAAAAUAAAAAAAUGGUGGAAAGAAAGAGAGGAGCCUUUAAACUCAUCUUCUCCACUGAUGUUUUCUCCAUUGAAGAGGAAAGAAAAGCUUCAAACAUUCUCAACAUUUUGACUAUUGCUUGUAAGGCCAAAUUGAGCUCGUUUUUUUAUAAAUUUUAUAUUUUUGAGAUUGUUGUAGCUUGAUUUAGCUAACCCGGAUAUUAAAUUGUAAAACUGUUAAAGUUUAGAAAAGUUUCCAUUGCUAUUCUUUGAAGCUUUUGAUGUUAAAUGGUUUGGUUGUAAGCUUAGAUAUGAUUAGGGACUAAUUCAUAAAGUGAAAUUUAUUAGUUUUGAGUGUAAGGACUAAAAUGUAAUUAUUUCAAUUUUUUUAUGAAAAUUCUGUAAUUACUGGUUUUAUAGGGUUGUAGAGGGGUGAAAUUAAAAACAUAUUGUAAAAAUGGGGCUCAAAUGUGAAAUUUAAGAUAGUUUUGAUUUUAUAGACUAAAUUGAGUAAAAUGAAAAAAUUUAGGGAUUCUGUAAAAAUAAAAGAAAAUAGGUCCAUUCAUAUCAUAUUAUAUCAUUAAAUUGCUGGAAUUGAUAAAUUGAAUUAAAUUUAUUAUAUAGAUCAAGAAUUAAAUCAACUGGAAGAUAAACACAGAAAAGGAAAAAUUGCAAAGUAGUCCCCAUAUUCGUAUUUUUUGUUGUCUUGUUUAGGUAAGUUCGUAUGAGAUUUAUUUUGUUAAUAUAUAUUUAUUUUUGUUUUAAUUAAUUACUUGUGAGUUGAGUUGUUGUAAAAUGAUAAUUGUUUGUAUUGAAAGGACUAAAUUGUAAAGUAUGAUAUAUGUACCUAGAAUGAAUUAUUAGACGAUAUGGAAUGAAUAUGGAUGGUUAAUUGGAUUAUGUUCAUGUAUAUGACAAUGUUAUAAUGAUGGAAAGGAUACGAGAAUCGAUUUAAGGCCCGUGUGAACUUAGUAAACUAUUAAGAUACGAAUGGCAUGCCAUUAAUGUCUAAAAAAAAGUAACAAAUAUUGGUUUAGAUGUUUUUAUCGAUGGUUGAGAUCCUGCAUGUGUCGCAUCGUGUAAAGUUUGAAUUCCUGAUUCACAGCUUGUGUGAGCAAUUAUAUUCACAACUCCUAUGAGCAAUUUAAGUCCCGUGUAUCCAAAAUUAUUUUACUAUAGUUCUCAGGGCAAUAUUGUUAAUUCAUUAAAAAGUUAAUGAUCGGAAAGAUUGAAUGAGAUUUCAUUUGUAAAGUUUCAAUAUGGGCAUAUUUAGAAAGUACACGAUAGUAUAGUAUAGUAUCGUAUAAAGAUGUACAGAAUGAAUUUAAUGUUAAUGCUUUGGUAUGAAACUAACCAAUUGGUUUGUUGUGUGAAAUUUGCAUAAGGAUGUCAAAGAAAAAUUCCAUGUUUGUAUCUUUUUAAUUUCAAUUGCUUAUACUGUUUAAUGCUGAGGUCAGUUAAGUUAAUUUCCGUACGAACUUACUAAGCAUCCGAAAAAAUGCUUAUCGUUAUUUUGUUUUUCUUUUCUGUAGAUUGUUGGUUGCCGAUCGUGUUGAUUGGAUCACUUCGAAGCUCACACUAUCCGCUUUUCGAUUCAAUAGACUUUUGAUCAUUUUGGGCUUGAUUAGAUGUGGCAUCUACUUAGGUGGUUGUAUAGGUUUAAGUUGAAUGAUUACUUUUCAUGUACAUAGGUGUAGUUGUAGAUAUAUUAAUUUUGAGACUUUUCACUUUAGUCUCUAUAUGACAUUUGGUAGUAAGAUGGUUGUAAUAGUUAUGAGUGUGUAUAUGGUUGUGGAUAUGUUAAUCUUGAAGAGGGUACGAACUUAAUAUUUUGGUUAUAGAGUAUGGCAUGUACAUAAGUUAUUGCAAGUUUUUUGAUAUAGUUUGAGUUUUAUAACGAUUAAUUGACAUGAAAAAAUAGAAGUUGUUCUAGCAAUGAAUGUGACAUCCUGAUGUGUUGACUCGAUUUUCAGGUCGAGUAUAAGUGUGUUACAACAAUGCUCACCAAUUGUGACUUGAAGUAGGAAGUCGUGAUAUCUUUAAGGGAGGGGAUGGCUAGGGUUUCUAGGUUAGAAAGGAGAAGAUGAAAAAAAAAAAGAGAAAAAGAAAUAUGAGCAUGUUGGAAAAAACGAGUUUGGAAAACACAGCGGAAAAUAAAUUUAGGGAAAACAGAGUUUUAAUUUUUUUUCCAAAACAAGAUCUUGGUUGUGAUAUCGAAAGUAAUAAACACUUAAUCAAAGUUGUACCUUUUCUAUUCGUCUAUGAUGAGCGCUUCGCCCAAGUAGUUUUAUUCGCUAUCUUCAAGCUCAAGCCUACCGAGUGUGGGCUCGCUUCGAAUUAGAAAAUUUUCACAAAAAUUACCAAUGGCGUAAUUUAGCAAUUUCUCUAAACUUUUAGGUCAAGUUGUAAAUAAAAAAAAUAUCGCUAGAAAAUUAUUUUCUCUCUACAACUUUCUCUUGAAUUCAAGUGUGUAAAAUAAUGACCCAAUACUCUCUUUAUAUAAGGAGAGUUUAGAGAAUUCAAUUAUAAUUAAACUUAAUUACUUUACUAUUAAAUUAAUAUAAUAUUUAUCAAGAUAAAUACAUAUUCAUUGAUUGGAUUCAAUCCAGUUGUAAAUUUAUUAAAUACAUAUUCAUUUUUGCAGAGCAAAAAGAAAUAUUAUUCUAAAGAUAUUUUUAUCUUCUUCUAUACUUAUAAUAAUAUGUAUUUAUAAAUGAAUAUCCUUAUAAUAAUAUUUCUUUUUGCUCUGCAAAAAUAAAUAUGCAUUUAAUAAUUUUAUAACUAGAUUGAAUCCAAUAUCAACUUAAUCAUAAAGAUAUGAAUCUAUCAAUUUAAAAAAGUAAAAAAAGAAAAAUGAAACAAUAAUAAAUUAUAACACCGACUACAUAUACUUUGUUAUACAUGGAUCGUUCAACUUGAAAGAUACUAGUGACCAGGUCCUCUAGGGCUUGGCCCCGAAGCCAAGCGCUGGAGCCAGCAGGACAUUGUGAACUUGGCCUUCUCGUAAACCGACGACGAGUAUGUGUGCAGAUGAUUAGCCUUGGCAAAAUCUUCAGGUAACACUCUUGUACCUUCCACUCCAACAUGGCUCAAAAUGGGCAAUGAGAUUACAAGAAUGAUGAAAAGGGUGCUUACUUUUCUGCUAUUCAUCUUCCAAAAUGGUUCGCCUGAAACUCUUUGGAAACGUAAAUAUAUGAGCGUUGUUGUUUUUGUAGAUGAAAUGGAAAGUGUAUAUAUAGGGGAGGUGGCUGUUGGAGUUGAACCUUGUAGGAAGUAAAAUAGUUUAGAAUAUAUAUGUUAGUAAGCGCUUAUGAAAGAUAUCGUGUUGACCAAGGAGUUUUGAAGCAGGCAGAGGAAAAUUAAUGUGAACAGGGAAGGGCG